AGUGAACGCUGGCGGUAGGCCUAACACAUGCAAGUCGAACGGCAGCACAGUAAGAGCUUGCUCUUACGGGUGGCGAGUGGCGGACGGGUGAGGAAUACAUCGGAAUCUACUUUUUCGUGGGGGAUAACGUAGGGAAACUUACGCUAAUACCGCAUACGACCUACGGGUGAAAGCAGGGGAUCUUCGGACCUUGCGCGAUUGAAUGAGCCGAUGUCGGAUUAGCUAGUUGGCGGGGUAAAGGCCCACCAAGGCGACGAUCCGUAGCUGGUCUGAGAGGAUGAUCAGCCACACUGGAACUGAGACACGGUCCAGACUCCUACGGGAGGCAGCAGUGGGGAAUAUUGGACAAUGGGCGCAAGCCUGAUCCAGCCAUACCGCGUGGGUGAAGAAGGCCUUCGGGUUGUAAAGCCCUUUUGCUGGGAAAGAAAAGCAGCAGGUUAAUACCCCGCUGUUCUGACGGUACCCAAAGAAUAAGCACCGGCUAACUUCGUGC
rnacentral:rRNA from 1 species